GUCUACAGUCAUGCCACCCUGAACACGCUCGAUCCCAUCUGAUCUCGGAAGCUAAGCAGAGCCGGUCCUGGUCAGUACUUGGAUGGGAGACCACCUAGAAAGACCAGGUGCUGUAGGCA
rnacentral:rRNA from 1 species